rnacentral:lncRNA from 1 species
CCCUGCUCCGAUGACAACGCCGCUGCUUGCAACGACGAUUUACCUCGGGUUGGCUGUUUUUGACCGUUUUCGGUAGAAUUCAGCCAAAUUUGCAUUAGUUCCUGUGAGAAAACACACUUAGGGCCCUCGGUUGGCCGAAAAAAUGUAGAAAAUCAAAACUCACCGGCGGCGAGGCUCUCCGAUGGGGCGGCUCAUCCGGCUCACAUUGCAGUUAGGUGUUUUGCUCUGGUUAACCUGUAGAAAAAAAAUGGUGAUCACAACAGUAAAAAAUUACCAAAAACGGGAAUCGAAAAGGGUCUUAUCGAAGGCAUUUUUCGAAAUAUCCUGCGGUGUCGCCGCCAGGCGUUGCCAGCAUUUUUAGGCCAAUCAGCCGGUCCUUUUGCUUCGAUUUGGUCAUGGAUGUGUUUAAAAUUAAAUUCUGAACAAAGGAUAAAAUUUUUACCUCGUUUGGCGGUCAGAAAUUGCUCUGGUGUGGCGGCGAGUGGCGGCGGUCGGCUCCCCGACGGCUAGGUUGUCUUCUCCGGUGAGGUGUUCUGGCUGCUAGGGUUAGGGUUUGGGUGCGGAUGGGGUUAUUUAUACACAUCCUCUUUUGAUCUAUGCCAUCAAUCUCUUUUGAUUUGAACCAUCCGAUCAUGAUUAAAUAGAGAGUGAAUCUGGACCAUUCAUCGCGAUUCAAUCUGGACCGUCCGUACGCGAUUUAAUCUGUACAGUCCGUGCGCGAUUCAAUCUGGAUCGUCCGUACGCGAUUUCAUUCUAGACC